CAUUGUUGGAGAGUUUGAUCCUGGCUCAGGACGAACGCUGGCGGCGUGCUUAACACAUGCAAGUCGAACGCUGAAACCGCUUCGGUGGUGGAUGAGUGGCGAACGGGUGAGUAACACGUGGGUAAUCUGCCCUGUACUCUGGGAUAAGCCUUGGAAACGGGGUCUAAUACCGGAUAUCACAUCUCCUCGCAUGGGGGGUUGUUGAAAGUUCUGGCGGUACAGGAU
rnacentral:rRNA from 1 species